UAGACUCAAACAAGAAGAAGUCACCUCAGGUAUUUGCUUUGCAGCGUGCCUUUUCUCACCUGAGAGAUGGCCCACCCAAGCUACAUUAACAAGAAUCACUUGCUUUUGAGCUGUUGUUUUCCAUCGACCCUGGAGUUCUCAUCUGAAAAAUGAGAUAUGUGUGGUGUGUGUGUGUCAGAAUGUGUGUGGGGCCCUUUGCAAUGCUUAAUUCUUCUGAAAUGGCAGGAAAAAGUUGACAAGAAAAGUGUUUGCCAUGCAUAGAAGACAGAAAAUAUGUCUGGUGUCAUGUUCUCUGAGGGUUAUGGACUGAAGCUUCGACUAAGGAAGAUUAUGAACAAAGGCCAAUAUCCACAGAGGAGUGAAGCUAAAGUUGUUCAUGGAGGCCAACCAUCCUGCCAGAGAGCUAGAAGAUCCACUGUGAGAAAAUGUUAACAUCCUUUCUUGAAAUACCAGUCCCAUCAAGUGCUGUGGGGGCACGAAACUCCUGCAGAAAUUGUUUGGAAUAGAAAAAAUCUGCAAUCUCUGUUGAAAAUCAAGUUUUUGAGUAGAAAAAUAAAUAGAGAAAAAACAACCUGUCCUAAAAUAAUAAAAAUAAGCCUCUGUUAUUGUCUGUGUAUGAGAUCCCAUUGAAUUUCAACAGCAUACAAUAUUUGAAAAAUGUUUUAUAACUGAAAUCAUUUGGCACAAAAAUAGCCCUAAUAACAGAUGAAACAUUUUUAGAGGGCUUGUUUUAAAAUUCACAAGGUCCAAAAGUUUAUUUGACAUUUAAGGAAUAAAUGCCGUGAUUGUGAAGGUCAUGUUAUUGUUUUUUUUAAAAAAAAAAAAGCUAAUCAUAUAUUUAACUCAUUCUAAAUGUCAGACAACUCCUUCCAAAUGAGAUGCCAAAACUACUUUUUUCUACAUUUGAGAGCUUUAGUUUUCUUCCUACUACCCUAUCACAGUGUAAAUUGUAUGAAGUUUUACCCCCCAAGGCCAGAAUAAAAUCCCUCUAUUUAGCAUUGGACUGGUUUAAAUUAUUUGCUAUUUCUCAUAGACUUACUUUGGAUAAUUGAGGUGUCUCUCAUAUUUUGUUGGUUGAACGCUCUGUAAUUUUUUCAAGAGAAUACAUUUCAAAAUGUACUUUUGAAAUUUGUUCUCAAUGCACCUGGUACAAAUUUAAUUUAGAUGGGGUGUUGUGUCUCUUAUUGCUGUCAAGCUGAGAGGUAUGGUGUGAUUCUGGUGACAUAGUUGUGUAUGUUCUCAUGAAGAUGGAGUUCAGUCUACAUGUUCAAAUAAUUUCAAUUAAACAGUGUAAAUGUGAUCCUUAUAAAUUUACUGUAUAUAAUUUACUGUAUAUACUGUAUGACUUGGAAGCCAUUAAAUAGUUUCAAUCAAAAAUUGCAUAAAGAAAACUUAAAGCAAUUAACCACCAUAAAGAUUUAUAAGUACAAAUAUUUGUAAAAUUAUAUAUUAAUAAAUAUAUUGCAAGAUAAAUAUUUUAUACAAUCUCAGACAUCAGAAGACUUGAUUCA